rnacentral:lncRNA from 1 species
AUUAGAUCUUAAUUUUCUCAUUCUUGGCACUCACCACCCAUGAUAAAAGACUUUUUAAAUGUAAUCCUUUAAAAAAAAAGGCUUAAUGCCUAUUUUUUAAAAUAAAACAGCAAGAAGUCUUCCUUCCACCUUAACUACCACUCAUCCUGUUCUCAUUCUGUGGAGACAACCAAGGUUAGCAGUCAAAAGACAUGUUUAACUGUUUUCCAGAUGAGGCUUACUAAAAGAUUAUGUCCAAAGGUCUUUUCUCCAUCAUAGUCAGAACCAUCAUCCUACUCCUGUCCCACCCCUAUCCUUCUCACCCUUUCAGCCUCAACCCUAAACAGGUUCUAUUAACAAUGAUAAACCACCUGAUUAAUGACAAAAGCAAAUGAUUAAGUGCUUUAUGGUUCUUUCUCCUCCUCUACACUAAUAAUCACUAACAAUCACUAACAUUUAUUGAUAACUUUGUAUGUUGCAGGCACUGUGCUAAAUACUAGAUGUGCAUUAUCUUGUUUAAUUUGCCCCAUAUCAUCACUGUUAUUCUUACUUUACAAAUACAGACAGAAAUGGAGGCUCAGAACCAGACGUGGUAGUACACACUUAUAAUCCUAGCUAUUCAGUAGGCUGAGGUAAGAGGAUUGUGAGUUUGAGGCCAGUCUGGGCAACUUAGGGAAACCCUAUCUCAAAUUUUUAAAAGCAUAAAGAAGGACUGGGGGCUGGGAUUGUGGUUCAGUGGUAGAG